rnacentral:rRNA from 1 species
CCUACGGGAGGCUGCAGUGGGGAAUUUUGGACAAUGGGCGCAAGCCUGAUCCAGCCAUUCCGCGUGAGUGAAGAAGGCCUUCGGGUUGUAAAGCUCUUUCGCAAGGGAAGAAAACUUAUCCUCUAACAUAGGAUGAGGUUGACGGUACCUUGAUAAGAAGCACCGGCUAACUACGUGCCAGCAGCCGCGGUAAUACGUAGGGUGCGAGCGUGGAUCAAAAUUUGUGGGCGUAGAUCUGGCGCACAGUGGUGAACUCCCCGAGCUCAACUUGGGAACUGCGUUUGAAACUACAAGACUAGAAUAGGUCAGAGGGGGGUAGAAUUCCACGUGUAGCAGUGAAAUGCGUAGAGAUGUGGAGGAAUAUCAAUGGCGAAGGCAGCCCCCUGGGAUCAUAUUGACGCUCAUGCACGAAAGCGUGGGGAGCAAACAGGAUUAGAUACCCCAGUAGUC